UAAUACAGGGGUGGCAAGCGUUGUCCGGAAUUACUGGGUGUAAAGGGUGCGUAGGCGGGUCGGUAAGUCAGUGGUCAAAUCCUAUAGCUUAACUAUAGACUAUCCAUUGAUACUGCUGAUCUUGAGUGCGAGAGAGAUGAGUGGAAUUCCAAGUGUAGCGGUGAAAUGCGUAGAGAUUUGGAAGAACACCAGUAGCGAAGGCGGCUCAUUAGCUCGUAACUGACGCUGAGGCACGAAAGCAUGGGUAGCAAACAGG
rnacentral:rRNA from 1 species